rnacentral:rRNA from 1 species
GCACGGAGUUAGCCGGAGCUUACAAACAGUACCGUCAUCGUAAGAGAUAUUAACUCUUACUUAUUCUUCCCGUUCUUGCGAAGUUUACAUCCCGAGGGAUUUCAUCCUUCACGCGGCGUUGCUGGGUCAGGCUUUCGCCCAUUGCCCAAAAUUCCCGACUGCUGCCUCCCGUAGGAGUCUGACCCGUAUGUCAGUGUCAGUGUGGCCGACCGCCCUCUCAGGCCGGCUACGGAUCAUCGCCUUGGUAAGCCGUUACCCUACCAACUAGCUAAUCCGCCGCAGGCUCCUCUUCAGACGCGAGGUCUUGCGAUCCCCCGCUUUAACAACUGUCACCAUUAGGUGCCGCUGCAUUAUGCGGUAUUAGCCACCGUUUCCGGUGGUUAUUCCCCAUCCAAAGGUAGAUUACCUACGUGUUACUCACCCGUGCGCCACUCUACUUGCCCCCCGAAGGGGGCUUUCGCGUUCGACUUGCAUGUCUGAGGCACGCCGCCAGCGUUGAUU